CUUUGACCCCCUACUGUCUCAGUUCCGUGUCCUAGCCCCUUCUGCCUCCCAUCCGGUGUCUCACCAUCACCGUGCUCCCCCUCCACCCUCUCUGAGCUUGCCCCUGCGGUCCCCCUGCCCUCUCCGAUCGCUACCUUUCUCACCUGUCUCCCCUCCGGGCGCUCUCUCUGCUCUGCACUGCCCAUCCACACGCCUUUCAGCCUCUCUUGAAUUGGGACGUUCCCUGGAAGGUGAAUUGGCUGACUUGCGAGGAAAGGGAUUUGAGUGCCGGCCUGGCUUGCUGAGUGCUGUGUGAAUUUGGGUUAAUAAGGAUUAGUGUGGGGUGUAUCUUGAGUUACAGCCUUACAAGAGGGUGUGCUUUCAGUCAUACUCUUGCUCAAGUCACCCUUACACUGAUAUAAAGUUUCCUUGGGGGUGUGACCUGCAUAUCCAAUAUACACACAGAUGCUAUGGCAAAGCUCUCCCUUGCUGUGGAUCCUGCAUCUGGCUCAUCAUCCUCUCUCCUCCAGUUCUUUGGACUUGAGUCUGUCAUCUUACCUGCCAAGUCUGGGAUUUGCUAGAUUAUGCAGCCUCCUGAGCCAACAGCCUACUGUCUGACCUGCCGAUCAUUGAGGUGUCGGCCCCUAUGACCAUGUGAGUCAGGAGAAGCCUCCAGCCCGACACCUGAUCCACAGAUUUCGGAUUUGGCAGCCUCCACAACUGCGUGAGCCAUAUAUAUACACUUCACUGGUUUUGCUUCGCUGGAGAACCUAGCCUAAGGGUAACUUUUAAGUUGACUUCCAGGAUAAUUAAACUUUGCGCCAUUGAACCUCAGUCUCUCCAUAUGAAAAGAGCACAGUAAUGUCUAUAUCAGGAUCAAAUGAGAUCGCACGGAAGAACUUGUUGAGAUGUAAAAGAUGAGAAAAAUUGAGACUCCUGAGAGGUUAAGGGUUUUGUUUGGGGUCACGUAAGUGUUUUGAACCUAGGGCCAUUGCACUGCACAACUCCUGGAGGGACGUAUCCAUGACAAUUGCUGUGAAUGUGUCUCCGAAGCUGUAGCCACUAGUCACGCUUCUCUUCAAAGUUGCCAUUUACUUAUUUUCUUAGUAUACUUUUUAUUGAAAUACAUCAUACAUAAAGAGAAGUAGGCAUCUAAGUGUACACACCCUUGCAUUUUCACAAAGUGAACAUACCCAUGCCAUCAACACAGACCAAGAAAAAGAAUGUUUCCAGAACCCUAGAAAGCCCCCUGUCCCCUUCCAGUCACUUACUACCCUAAAGGGUAACCACUAUCUUGACUUCUAAUUGCAUAGUUUUACUUGUUUUUGAAUUGUAUAUAAAUGGAUUAAUAUAGGAUGCACCCGUCUGUGGCUUGCUUCUUUUGCUCAAAAUUUUUUUUGUAAGAUUCAUCCAUGCUGCUAUGUGUAAUUGUACUCUAAUCAUUCUCACUGUUAUAAUAUUCCAUUAUGUGAACAUACUAUAUUUUACUGUGGAUAGACAUUUGUGUUGUUUUUAGCCUUUGGCUAUUACAAACAGCGCUCCUAUGAACAUUCUUGGAUAUGUCCUUUGGUGAACAACAGAUUUCUGUUGAGUAAAUACCUAGGAGUGGAAUCACUAGGUCAUAGGGUAUACAUAUGUUCAGAUUUAGUAGAUUGGGGCAGUUUUCUGAAAUGGUUGUACCAGCAGUGUCUGAGAGUUCCAGUUGUUCCACAUUCUCACCAACACUUUGCAUUGUCUGUCUUUUUAAUUUUAGGCAUUCUGAUGGAAGUAUGGUGGUAUUCUCAUUGUGGUUUUAAUUUGUGUAUCUCCAUUGACUAAUGAACACUUUUUAAUAUA